rfam:Myotis lucifugus cont2.5848, whole genome shotgun sequence.
GGCCUCCCUCUGUGGGGUGAUCGAUCUGAGGGCCCUGCGAUUGAUCACCCCGCAGAGGGAGGCC